CCUAAAGGCAAAAUGAAAGUGAAAGUMGRYCUUGCGCGCCGACUGAGGGAGGAUGAGCCGUAUUACGAUGCGGCUCCGCACUCCCGGGGCGUCUCGUUCACAUUAUGCGAAGAGGCGCACCCAGAGCGUACACGKUGGGACCCGAAAGAUGGKGAACUAUGCCUGGUCAGGACGAAGUCAGGGGAAACCCUGAUGGAGGUCCGUAGCGAUUCUGACGUGCAAAUCGAUCGUCGGAACUGGGUAUAGGGGCGAAAGACUAAUCKAACCAUCUAGUAGCUGGUUCCCUCCGAAGUUUCCCUCAGGAUAGCUGGCACUCGCGAGUUCAAUGAANCUUAUGCGAGUCUCAUCUGGUAAAGCGAAUGAUUAGAGGCCUUGGGGCCGAAACGACCUCAACCUAUUCUCAAACUUUAAAUGGGUGAGAUCUCUGGCUUGCUUGAAUACAUGAAGCCAUGAGAGAGAGAUAAUACACGGGAUCAGAGUGCCAAGUGG
rnacentral:rRNA from 1 species